rnacentral:rRNA from 1 species
CCCAGACAGCCAGGAUGUUGGCUUAGAAGCAGCCAUCAUUUAAAGAAAGCGUAAUAGCUCACUGGUCGAGUCGGCCUGCGCGGAAGAUGUAACGGGGCUAAACCAUGCACCGAAGCUGCGGCAGCGAACGUAUCACUUAAAGCGAUUCAGCGGAUGACGAUUGACGGAGCGAAGCGACGUCAAAGCGUAUACAAAGUCGAGUCGGUUUAAGGAUACGUUCGUUGGGUAGGGGAGCGUUCUGUAAGCCUGUGAAGGUGGCCUGUGAGGGUUGCUGGAGGUAUCAGAAGUGCGAAUGCUGACAUAAGUAACGAUAAAGCGGGUGAAAAGCCCGCUCGCCGGAAGACCAAGGGUUCCUGUCCAACGUUAAUCGGGGCAGGGUGAGUCGACCCCUAAGGCGAGGCCGAAAGGCGUAGUCGAUGGGAAACGGGUUAAUAUUCCCGUACUUGGUGUUACUGCGAAGGGGGGACGGAGAAGGCUAUGUUGGCCGGGCGACGGUUGUCCCGGUUUAAGCGUGUAGGCUGGUUUUCCAGGCAAAUCCGGAAAAUCAAGGCUGAGGCGUGAUGACGAGGCACUACGGUGCUGAAGCAACAAAUGCCCUGCUUCCAGGAAAAGCCUCUAAGCAUCAGGUAACAUCAAAUCGUACCCCAAACCGACACAGGUGGUCAGGUAGAGAAUACCAAGGCGCUUGA